rnacentral:misc_RNA from 1 species
UCUAACUGAAAAAUUGAUAAUUGGGGGUUAGAGGGAUUUUGCUGUGCAAAAUUUGAAAGUCGAUGGGGUUCUGUGUUACAUUUUUAAGUUGAGGGACUGUAAUGUUACAACUAGAUAAGUUCAGGGACAAUUGUCAAAAUUUAUCCACAAGCUGUACAUGAAAAACAUUAAUAACACCCCCCCCCCAAACAGUGUCACAACUUGGUGCUUCAGCAAUUAUAGAUCAAUUACAUAUAGCACUAAGACUGCAUGACUAGCAUAAAAUAAAUUAUCAAUUUAUUCAAUUUUUUUUCUUCUUUGCAAAUUUUUAGUAGAACACAGAACAAAUAUCUUUUUCACUUUGAAAUCUCUUCCAGCUUGAAAAAAAAAAAUACAAACCUGCAGCAAAAGAAACCCACAAUAUUUAACCCACUCUCAGCUUUCACUGUUCAGUUGCUUAUUUUUACCUAAAAGAAUUUGACCAGGUUGACGACUUGAACUGCUAACCCAGAGUCUAUAUCAAACAACUUUGUUCAUAGCAGAAGGUUUUUGAUAAAUACAUGCUCAAGCUAUCAAAUGGAUGAGAAAAUUGAAACAAGUAGAUGACAACCUAUCAACAUAAAUUCUCAUGGAAUAACCAAGUCAUGCACAUUGACCUGAACUAUAUUGAAACUAAAACUAAGAUUAAGUGACUUGUUACACCCUGAUAGUACACAUGUUGAUGACAAUCUUACAGGAUGAGUGGUCUCCAAGCGGCCUAUACAUCCAAACAGGAUAAGAAAUUGCACUACUUAGCAUCUCAGAUACUGCUAAUUGCCAUAAUCUUUAGAAUUUGAAUCACAAAGUUCACCAGCAAUAAAACUGUUGUCCUACUUGUCUCCAGAUGUCAUCCACAAUGUUUAAGCAAGACACAUUGGUCCUACUCCCAACCAUAAGUUUCUGUUUUAUGAUGACUUAUUGGAUAGAAAUUACAAUUCCCAGAACCAAUCACAUGGUCCAAGGAACUUGGAGGGACAUAACCCCAAAUCGAACUAAUUGGAUAUUGAAAGGCAUUUUCUGUUGAAUAUGUCCAACAGAAACUAAGUGUCAGUAAAACAGAUAGACAGAUAGCAACGUUAUACAUGCUUGAUAACACAACAAUUUUCAUAAAGAAGUACAUAUUAACAUAUCAAUACUACAGCCAACAAAUUACGAAAAAGUAAGGUGAUGUCAGAUGUGCAUUAUGCAUUGUAACAAAAAGGGUUAGUGAAACACUUAGAAGGCCUUAAAUUAUAAGAAGCACAGUUACACACGAGGAUUUGUACCUCAGUAACUUCUAAAGACCCACUCUAAUUGCACAGCUUUCAUCGUAGUCUUCUUAUUCUCCAUCUUCAAUAUGAAUGAGAACUAAUCUCCUACCAUAUUUCAAAAUUUCUCUCCUUGACAGAAUUUAUACCAGACAAUCCCUCAUAUAUUCCUUGAUUGUUGCUAUUUACAGUAAACUGAAUUGUAUGUACAUAUAUUCCCUUUUAUUAUGAGGAAUGGAAGACUCCAAUAAUUGAUGAUAUCAGUAAUUAGAUAAGUAACCUAAACACAAUUCAAUUCACCAUCGUUAUCUUGCAUAACCUAAGGCGAGUUUUCAUUCCUUGAGGACCUAUCCAACAUUGAAUUUGAUCUACUUCUUCGCGUCAAACCAGAUUCAUUGCUAACACGCCUUCUGAUCCUUUCAAAAAAGGAAAAGAAAUUGCGAAAAGCUCGGCCUAACCCUCCACCCUCUCUUGAUCUCCUCCCACUGGGUGCCCAUGAAAUCCUCAUGGGCGCCCAUGAAAUCCUCCUGGGCGCACCGGCAGUGUUGAACCCACCAUCCACCUCCGUGAACACAGCAGGGGGCUCACUCUCUGCCGCUCUCCUUCCUCCGGAAAAUCUCCCCACCGCAAAACCGCCACCUGGAAGUCUCCAUAUCGUUAACCCCAUGGUCUCAAAACCUGAUUCCGGUGAAUUCCUGCCACUCCCACCGCCAUUUCUACGCACAUCUGUCGGUAGCUCAUGCCGACAAACUGGACAAGAAUUGCGAAGAGAUAACCACGGGAGGAUGCAAUCGGAGUGAUAAAUGUGCUUACAUGGCAUCUCGCGCGCCUCCGUAUUAAGUUCAAAUGGUUCUUUACAAAUUGCGCAGUGAGGUUCCGUAGAGACAUGGCUAGAGAGGAUUUUGACCACAGGCAUUGACUCUAUUGCCGCUUUCGAAGCUGGUGGAUGCUCGAAUCGACCAACGCCGUUGAUUUCCAACUGAGUCAACUGAUCAAGGAGCUGAUCAAAUCCCGAUCCCAUCAAGAACUCCGACAUGCUUGCCGGUAAAGGACGGAGGCCAGACCCAACACCACCAUCAUAAUAUAGCUCAAAGUUCCCGGAACCUCCCUCAUUCUCGCCACCACCAUCUGGAGGCCCACGGAGGACGAUGACAGGAUUAAAAGGGGAGCGAUCUCCGCCAUUCCGACGGUUGCGGCGCAAUCUCGGGGCGGUAAUGUGAUCCGAAUUAGAUGGGUACAUCGCAGCGGCCGGGAAUUGAUGGUGGAGCGGGGAGCGAGAAGGGGUUCCAAUUUCCUCGACGAAGCCGCAGCCACAGUCGGGGCAAAGAAUCGAAUCAUGGAUUGCCCGA